AAGGUGGACACAGACACACAGAGAGGAGAAUACCUUGUGAAGACACAGACACAGAGGCAAGACGGCCAUUUGAAGGCAGAGGCAGAGACUGGAGUGAUGUACCUACAAGCGAGGAAUGCCAAGGAUUGCCAGCAACCCCCGGGAGCUGGAGAGACAAGGAAGGACCCUUCCCUGGAGCCUUCAGAGAGAGCAUGACGCUGUCAACACCUCGAUUUAAGACUUCCAGCCUCCGGAAUGGAAGCAUCCAUUGGUCUGUGAUUUGUAAGCACUUCAUGAUAUUUCAUGAAAUCUCUACAUUCCAUCCAUUUGGCUUGCUGGAAGUUCAGUGACCCUGAGUCUGGAGGCAGGGGGUUAUUAUCACCUACAUUCUACAGAUGUGGAAACUCAGGCUCAAAAAGGAGUCUGGAACAUGCUUUCAAAAACGAAGACUCUCCCACUUAAACCACAUGGAAAUCUGAAGCAUUCUAUUUUGUGUGCUGUGAUUAUUGGUCACUGAAGCUUCAUUACUGAAAAGAAACACCCAGCAGAGCAGGAGCCAAGCGUUUGGUCUGGUGAGAAAUGAGGGCCUGAAGCUGUCAGCUGCAAAAUGGAAGGGGGGCCCGUGGCAGGGCAGUACCUUCGUGCCCUGUAACUCAGAACCAGCAAAGGGGGCCAAUGUUUUGCUUGUUUAAUCCCUUAUUAAACUGGACUUCAUCUCCAUAUUGAUCGCCUUCCGUGCAGGUGAAUGGAUACGUUAGGAGUGUAUUGUUCUGAUCAGUCCUGGUUGUCUAGCGAUAUAUCCACUGAUACGGAUAAGGCCAUCCCUCAUAACCCUUGUUGGAGCCAUGCUCCUCUGCAUCAUGCAGACACAUUUCCUUGGCAAAGAAGACCGGUGUUUGAUGUUCAGAAAUGAGAGAACCCAAGGAGCCUCAGCUCUUUGUGGAACACACUGGGGAGAAGUUAUGAGUAAUAAAGUGGGUGACAUGAGGGCUGAAGUUUAAGAACUCCUGUGGCAGUUUGGUUGGGCUCAGUUGGAGGGUGUGGGAGGAAUGUGAUGGGGCUGAACCCAAAUUAUGGAGGAAACUUCAUCAUGCCAGACCAAGGAGGAAGUGAGGGAGUCAUUGAGUGGCUUUAAGCAGGGAAUAAUAUGACCACACUGGAGGUGGAAAGGCUGGCGGUGGGGAGAUCAAUUCAGACCCUCUUGCAACAAUCCAGGAGUGGUGGUACCUUGGAUUAAGGGACUAGAGGAGAGAAGGGGCUGGACAAGAGCGCUCAGGAAGGUGGACUUGAUGACCACUAGCUAAUGGGAUUUGAUGAGGUGAUGCAUGUGAAGUGUUUAGCACAGUAUCAGGCCCACAGGAAGUUACUGAUAAACAGCAGCUGCCAUUGUAUGGGCGGACAGGAGAGGGAGCCGUUACAGAGGAGGGGAGCCUUGAACAUUCUACAGUGCAACCCGACCCAGGAGUGGUGGAAUCAGUUAGUCCGAGACAGAGGAUCACAGGAGUGAAUGAAGCCCGCCACUGCCUCACAGCAGAUCCUAAUUCCUGAGAGGACCUCCUUCCCCCUCACACCCCGCAAAGACAGCUGCAGAUUCCUCAGAAAAAUCUUCCCACUGUCCAAUGGGCUUCUAUCCUUUUUCCUUUCUCCCCAUCAGAGCAGCUUGCCAGGGUUCAGCCCUGCAGUGGACAAUCCAAUCUGAACAUGGACGUCUACAGCUUAACGGGUUACCCACCGGCCCAGCUGUUGGCCGUGCUCACAGGGUAACUCGGAAGACAGUUGUUGUGUGAGUGCCUGUGUGCUCUGGGGAGGGAUGCCAGAGUGAAACGGGGCAUGAUAAUCAUCCUGACCUCAAGACACAGUGCCCUUACCCUUGGCAAAAUGGCUAACAAUCCUAGAGUGCCCAAGCAAGUUUACAAACCCUUCAUAGGCACGACCUCAUGUGAUUUCUUCAUCACUUGCUUUUCCAAGUAUGUAACAGGUUUGUAGAAAGCAGCUGUGGAUUCUCUUUGGCUUUCAUUCUAGAAGUUUCUCUCUUCCUGGUCAAAGAGUCACAUGACCUGACUGUAACUGGGGCAGGGUUUUUGGGUGCUUGUGUGACUCUUCUGGGGUCUGCAUGUUACUGGAAGGGUGCUGGAGCCUGCAGCUUUUGCUGGUUUUCUACCUUCAUGGAGUCUUUCUUGCCCCAGCUCCGGACAGGGUCUGAGGCUUCGUUAGAACUCAAUGGUGCCCAUUGUGGGGACUUCUGGGCCAGUGGGGGAUCACAGGAAGGACUUACCGAGACUGGGGUGGAAGGUGUUUUAUUGACCACCAGAAAUGAGUCAGGAAUGUCGUUUCCAAUCUGUGGCAGGAAAAAUGGUUCCCCCUCCUUGACUGUAUCCCCUUGAUUUUUGUGGUCCCUCAUUUCUGAUGUGGGAGACCUUGGUUACUACUGCUAAGUAAGGUUGAAGAAAAAAAUUCAAAAUGGCUAGACACGUAAAGUAGCAGUGCAUUUGUGCCCUUUCUUGCUAUUCUAGCAGUCUGCGGCUUCCCCAAGGCAAGUGGCAAAAGCCAGCCAACUGGUGGCUUUGGAAGGGCACCUUGAGGGAGUCUUAUCAAAGCUACAGCCCGAUGUGCUGUGGCAGGUAAAUAAGUUCUGUUCUUGUUGACCGACCAACUGAAGUCCUUAGAGUUAGUGGCUGAAACCACACCCUUGAGAACCCAGACAGCCACACUGCAAGGACACAGAGUCCUUUGGGGCUCAGACUUUCUAAUAAUACAUUUUCUCAGCGGUACCUGGAAAUUAAGCAUCCUUGUUUGUUUCACUGGAGACAGCGGGCCUCCUUUCUAUUUUCCCUCUGCUUAGGGUGGGAGUGAUUUCCUCUUCACUUGCUUUUCCAAGUCUAACAGGCUUCGAGAAAGCAGCUGUGGAUUCUCUUUGGCUUUUGUUCUAGAAGGUUCUGUCUUCCUAGUCAACAAGACACAGGCCCAAAUUUAACUGGGGCAGUGUUGUUGGGUCUUCUGGGGUCUGCAUAUUACUAGCCUAACCCUAACUAUAGUGGCCACGGUAGGCUGGCAUGUGAGACUCAGAGGCACAUGGAAAACUGAGUAAUCGCCCUGUCAGUAGCAGGGGCAUCCCUAGCAUCAGACUUCUGUGUCUGUAAUUGAGCAGAGUCCAGAAUGUUUCAGGGAACCCAUUCUGGGCACGAAGGAUUUUCAUUUGCCUCCUAGUUCCUGGAUCAUCUUGGUCAGAGGAGGAAACUGUCCCAUGAGACUCAUGCAGAGUCUGGGGCCAUGGACCUUUGUGUAAAGGCAGGCAUAACUCACCUUGCAGUCUUUUCCCUGGAAUAAACUUGUCUUCCUGAGUUAAUCUCAGAUAAAGGGCACCUCGAUUGAUUUCCUCUCUGGAAUUCCAGUCGCUAACACUAGAAAUAUUAUCCCACCAGGACAUGCUUUUCCCUCUACAAGAGAGGCAGUGUGGGGGAGCAGUUAAGUGCAUGGCCUCUGGAGCUGGGUUCUUGGCCCAGCUUUGUCACUUAAUAGCUGUGUGACUUUGGGUAAGUUGCUUAACUUCUCCAUGUUCCUGUUUCCUCAUCUGUAAGAAGGGGAAAGUAAUGGUGUACAACUAUGUUAGGUUUGUAAUGAGGAGAAAAUUAGUUAACACGCAUCAAGGACACAGAACGGUGCCUGGGAUGUAGUGAAGUGCUACAUAAGGGCUUGUUGUUAUUUUUCACUGUUUGAAACCAGAGCAGAACGUGAAAUAAAAGGUUGUCAUACUGAGCGGCCUGGGUGGUGACAGUCUUGGUCUAGGAGGCAGGAGCGGUGGUCUCUCUGAUCACGGUUCCCACUAAGUGAUGGGGUAACUGAAUCAGUGAGAGCUGCAGUUCCUUCCUUUUAGAAUAAGGUGGUGAUAACAACCCAUGUCCGUCAGCUGAUGACUGCAUAAACAGAAUGCGGCCUAUAAACACAAUAGAACAGUAGCCAUAAAGAUGAAUGAAGUUCCCAUACAUGCUACAUCACGAUGAACCUUGAAGACGUUAUGCUAAGUGAAAGAAACCAGACACAAAAGGACUUGAUUUCACUUAUAUGCAAUAUCUAGAAUAGGCCAAUUCAUAGAGACAGAAAGUAGAACUGAG
ensembl:lncRNA